AGUGAACGCUGGCGGUAGGCCUAACACAUGCAAGUCGAACGGCAGCACAGUAAGAGCUUGCUCUUACGGGUGGCGAGUGGCGGACGGGUGAGGAAUACAUCGGAAUCUACUUUUUCGUGGGGGAUAACGUAGGGAAACUUACGCUAAUACCGCAUACGACCUACGGGUGAAAGCAGGGGAUCUUCGGACCUUGCGCGAUUGAAUGAGCCGAUGUCGGAUUAGCUAGUUGGCGGGGUAAAGGCCCACCAAGGCGACGAUCCGUAGCUGGUCUGAGAGGAUGAUCAGCCACACUGGAACUGAGACACGGUCCAGACUCCUACGGGAGGCAGCAGUGGGGAAUAUUGGACAAUGGGCGCAAGCCUGAUCCAGCCAUACUGCGUGGGUGAAGAAGGCCUUCGGGUUGUAAAGCCCUUUUGUUGGGAAAGAAAUCCAGCUGGCUAAUACCCGGUUGGGAUGACGGUACCCAAAGAAUAAGCACCGGCUAACUUCGUGCCAGCAGCCGCGGUAAUACGAAGGGUGCAAGCGUUACUCGGAAUUACUGGGCGUAAAGCGUGCGUAGGUGGUCGUUUAAGUCCGUUGUGAAAGCCCUGGGCUCAACCUGGGAACUGCAGUGGAUACUGGGCGACUAGAGUGUGGUAGAGGGUAGCGGAAUUCCUGGUGUAGCAGUGAAAUGCGUAGAGAUCAGGAGGAACAUCCAUGGCGAAGGCAGCUACCUGGACCAACACUGACACUGAGGCACGAAAGCGUGGGGGA
rnacentral:rRNA from 1 species